AUGCAAGAGAACCCGGGUAGCAUGAUUUUGGCAGGAGAAAGGAGGAUUAUCAUUUCUAGAGGUGAGUUGAGCUACAGCUUGGUUGGAGAUGUUGGUGCGGUUCAAGAGGCCCGCUGGGUUCACCCUUUUCAAGGUUCUAAACCAGGGCAAGCUCAACAAGGUCGAGGUGAGUGCUCGCCGCCACCUCAGCUCCUGGAUCUAUGGAAGGAGUUCACGACUCGGACUCGACGAGAAAGUUUUGUGCUUCAUUUUUUUUAUGGCAAAAUAACUUCUCUUUUUGAAACAAUUAGUACGUCAUAUAUCUAUCACAUUAUAAUAGAGUAA
rnacentral:rRNA from 1 species